rnacentral:rRNA from 1 species
GAAGAACGCCGGCGGCGUGCCUCACACAUGUAUGUCGAACGAUUCUCUUCGGAGAAGAGCGGCGGACGGGUGCGUAACGCGUGGGUGACCUGCCUCAUACACAUGGAUAACAUACCGAAAGGUAUGCUAAUACAAGAUGAUAUAAGAGAUUCGCAUGGAUUUCUUAUCAAAGCUCCGGCGGUAUGAGAUGGACCCGCGUCUGAUUAGCUAGUUGGUAAGGUAACGGCUUACCAAGGCGACGAUCAGUAACCGACCUGACAGGGUGAUCGGCCGCAUUGGAACAGAGACGCGGUCCAUGCUCCUACGGGAGGCAGCGGUGGGGAAAAUUGCACAAUGGGCGAAAGCCUAAUGCAGCGACGCCGCGUGUGCGAUGAAGGCCGUCGGGUCGUAAAGCUCUGUCCUCAAGGAAGAUAAUGACGGUACUUGGAGAGGAAGCCCAGGCUAACUACGUGCCGGCCGCCGCGGUAAGAC